AAGGCUUGACCUCAAAUCAGGUAGGACUACCCGCUGAACUUAAAGCAUAUCA
rnacentral:rRNA from 1 species